rnacentral:miRNA from 1 species
UUAUGCAUUCGACUUAUACUAUUUAGGUUGGUGCAAAAGUAAUUGUGAUUUUUAUCUUUUUUUUUUAAGUAAUGGCAAAAACUGCAAUUGCUUUUGCAACCACCUAAUAGAA